rnacentral:lncRNA from 1 species
GCGGGAAAGGAGGCGGUUGGUCGCCAUUUUGGGAGGCGGGCGGUUGAGGGCGGGCUAGGGUAAAGACGAAACCCAGGAAGGGUGUGAACGACAAGGGUCGUUCCCUGGCGCGACCCACACCCCCAGGCUGAGGUCUGCUGCCUUGCCGGUGUUUCAGGAGGGCAGCGUUAGAAUGCAGUGGCCCAACAUCCCCUACUCCUUGUGGGCCUCGCCAUGACGCACAGCCCCGCGGUGGGGCCGCGCUAGCUGGUCGUGGCCCCUGGAGGGCCGCCCGCGCAUCCGCAAGCACGCGGGAGCACGGGGCACUAGGAUCAAGGAUUGCCUCCCUUUUUCCACCAAACUCCGAGCCUCGUAGGGGACUGCAGCGGCUUCAGUGCCGACUGGUCACGCAGUGGGAGCCACCAGCCACUGAGACCAGGAUUCAAUCCUCAGAAAUUGAACCCUGCCCAGUCGCCCACGGGGGCAUACGCCUGUAAUCUUAGCGCCCUGGGAGGCUGAGGCAGAAGGAUCGCAAAUUUGAGCCCAGCUUGGGCAAGUAGGCGAGACCUUGUCUAAAAGUAUAAAAGAACUGAGAAUGUACUGGAAGCUCAAUGUGAAGACCUUGGUUUCAAUUCCUAGUACUGCCAAAAAUAAAAUAAAAUAUUGAAAUUCCGAGGUCUACAGCGCCUGACGGCACAUUCCGGGUUGCCUGGGGUUAGGAAACUGACCUUGACCAAUGAGGAGCAUGAGGGAUCUUACUGAGGUGGGAAUGUGCCCUGGAAAUUCAAGGACAGCCUAAACUGUACAGUGAGACUCUGUCUCAAAGAAAGAAAGCUGUGAAGACACCAAGCCCAUCUUCCUGAAUGGAUGAAAUAAACAGCAACUGGUGGCAAUUACGGACGCAAGACACGGAACAAUUUUGCUUACUUGAGUGACGGACCCUCCAACAGCAGCCACACACGUGUGCCUGGUCAUUGUGCAAGUCAUUAACACAUGCCCUUGUGGUGGUGUUGGGUUUUGUUUUGUUUUGUUGAUGGCAUUAGAGAUGGAAGCCAGGGCCUCACACAUGCUGGACAAGUACUGAGCCACACCGCAGCCCUUCAUUUUGUUUUGUUUUUUCUCUCUCUUUUUUUUUGGUACCAGAGAUCAAACUCAGGUCCUUAUGCCUGCACAGUAGGGGGCAAAACCACUGAGCUAAAUCCCCAGCCCUCUCUCUCUUUUUUUUUUGAGACAGGGUCUUGCUAUGUAGUCCAGGCAGGCCUGGAACUCACAGCCAUCCUCCUGCCUCAGUGCGGGGAUGACAGGUGUGUGUCACCACACUCAGCUGAAGAUAUCAUUAUUACCCCAUUUUCCAGGUGAGUAAACUGAGGCACAGAG